rnacentral:tRNA from 1 species
GGAUGUAUCUCAAUGGUAGAGUGCUUGCCUAGCAUGCAUUAGGGCCCUGGGUUAGAUCCCCAGCACCA